UCAGGAUGAACGCUAGCUACAGGCUUAACACAUGCAAGUCGAGGGGCAGCAUUUUAGUUUGCUUGCAAACUAAAGAUGGCGACCGGCGCACGGGUGAGUAACACGUAUCCAACCUGCCUAUAACUCGGGGAUAGCCUUUCGAAAGAAAGAUUAAUAUCCGAUGGUAUAUUAAAACCGCAUGGUUUUACUAUUAAAGAAUUUCGGUUAUCGAUGGGGAUGCGUUCCAUUAGUUUGUUGGCGGGGUAACGGCCCACCAAGACUACGAUGGAUAGGGGUUCUGAGAGGAAGGUCCCCCACAUUGGAACUGAGACACGGUCCAAACUCCUACGGGAGGCAGCAGUGAGGAAUAUUGGUCAAUGGACGAGAGUCUGAACCAGCCAAGUAGCGUGAAGGAUGACUGCCCUAUGGGUUGUAAACUUCUUUUAUAUGGGAAUAAAGUAUUCCACGUGUGGAAUUUUGUAUGUACCAUAUGAAUAAGGAUCGGCUAACUCCGUGCCAGCAGCCGCGGUAAUACGGAGGAUCCGAGCGUUAUCCGGAUUUAUUGGGUUUAAAGGGAGCGUAGGUGGAUUGUUAAGUCAGUUGUGAAAGUUUGCGGCUCAACCGUAAAAUUGCAGUUGAAACUGGCAGUCUUGAGUACAGUAGAGGUGGGCGGAAUUCGUGGUGUAGCGGUGAAAUGCUUAGAUAUCACGAAGAACUCCGAUUGCGAAGGCAGCUCACCAGACUGCAACUGACACUGAUGCUCGAAAGUGUGGGUAUCAAACAGGAUUAGAUACCCUGGUAGUCCACACAGUAAACGAUGAAUACUCGCUGUUUGCGAUAUACAGUAAGCGGCCAAGCGAAAGCAUUAAGUAUUCCACCUGGGGAGUACGCCGGCAACGGUGAAACUCAAAGGAAUUGACGGGGGCCCGCACAAGCGGAGGAACAUGUGGUUUAAUUCGAUGAUACGCGAGGAACCUUACCCGGGCUUAAAUUGCAUUUGAAUAAUCUGGAAACAGGUUAGCCGCAAGGCAAAUGUGAAGGUGCUGCAUGGUUGUCGUCAGCUCGUGCCGUGAGGUGUUGGGUUAAGUCCCGCAACGAGCGCAACCCUUACUGUCAGUUACUACGCAAGAGGACUCUGGCAGGACUGCCGUUGACAAAACGGAGGAAGGUGGGGAUGACGUCAAAUCAUCAUGCCCUUUAUGACUUGGGCUACACACGUACUACAAUGGCGUUAAACAAAGAGAAGCAAGACCGCGAGGUGGAGCAAAACUCAGAAACAACGUCCCAGUUCGGACUGCAGGCUGCAACUCGCCUGCACGAAGUCGGAAUUGCUAGUAAUCGUGGAUCAGCAUGCCACGGUGAAUACGUUCCCGGGCCUUGUACACACCGCCCGUCACACCAUGAGAGCCGGGGGGACCCGAAGUCGGUAGUCUAACCGCAAGGAGGACGCCGCCGAAGGUAAAACUGGA
rnacentral:rRNA from 1 species